rnacentral:tRNA from 1 species
AGUUUUUUAAUUUAAAUUAAAAUAUAAAAUUGCAAAUUUUAAAAUGAUUUUUAAAACUAAUCAAAAACUU